AUAUUUUUUUUUUUAAAAAAUUAGAUCUCAUCAACUCUUCAAAGCCAAUCACCUAAUCCCUUCCACAAACUAAAAAAUCCUUCAUCUUCAUCCCUCCUCCAAAUUCUCUCAUCAUCAACAACACAACACGGAAUCAACAAACAACAUUCGCGUUUUUAAUUUCAGUAUCGCUGGCAACAUAUCUAACGAGAAAGGAGGGUAGAAGAUAACAAGUGAAAAUGCACUACAACUUUGGAUCUAGAAUUGAAUCCAUGGCCGCACUGAGGCAACACUCGGAUUUCAUCUUCAACGGAGAAUUCGCUUAAACAAAUAGUGUAAUAGAAUUUCACGGCGUAUUCCUCUGUUGUUGUAAGCUUUGGAAGAGAGAGGAGAACCUUCUUCUUGACGCCUCUGUGGUUGAAGAGAGACGAGGAUGAUGACGAAAUCAGAAUUAAUGACGGUGGAGUCAGGUUGGUUAUUGGCAUGGAAACUGGUGUUGGUUCACGUUCCUUUGUACAAGAGAUUUUUAGUCCAAAAAAAAACUAUUUGAUCUAAGCUCCAAAUUGGUCGUCUUUCCAAAAUUUACAACAACCUUAAUAAUCCCCCAAUUUCAUCUUCCACUUAGAAAAAAAAGGGUAUAUUUGUUGUUCCUUGGUAUAUUUGAGAUGAUGAAGAUGAAGAGG